rnacentral:rRNA from 1 species
UACGUAGGCAGCAAGCGUUGUUCGGAGUUACUGGGCGUAAAGGGUGUGUAGGCGGUUGUUUAAGUUUGGUGUGAAAUCUCCCGGCUCAACUGGGAGGGUGCGCCGAAUACUGAAUGACUCGAGUGCGGGAGAGGAAAGUGGAAUUCCUGGUGGUAGCGGUGAAAUGCGUAGAUAUCAGGAGGAACACCGGUGGUGUAGACGGCUUUCUGGACCGUAACUGACGCUGAGACACGAAAGCGUGGGUAGCAAACAGG